GCAGAACCAGCGAAUAACUGUCCUUGCGGUAGUGGUGUGGCAGAAAAAAGGGCAUAUCCACUCCUGGAGGACCCGGGAGCAACAGACAUACCCAUCUGCAGCAGAGAAAUUCAGACACAAGAACCUUAAACAUAAAUAUCUUAAAUAACUCUGAUUGCUGGAUGCCAUUUCUUCAGUUUAAGUUAAAUAUUUAUGUGGACCAUAAACAGAAACUAAAAAUCUGUGCAGGACAUUGCCUGGAUGGACAAUUUUAUUCAUUACUUGGUGCUUAUUUUGCUUAAAGGCGACCUUUUAUGCUCUCCUGAACAGGUUAAGACAGGACUAUGGGUGAUACAAAUCAUCUUCAUUACAUUUUUUGCACAAAAUCAUUCUUAGAUAAUGAGAUAUGAAUCUGGUCAGUUCUGUCCAUUUUGAGCUCCUUUCAGAAUGAGCUGUCAUUAUCCCCACUUCAUAAUAACACAACUAUAGACUUUUUUUUAUCCUAAUAGUAUCUCCCUUUACACGAGUCAGACUGAUCUAAACAUUAGGAAAUAUUUAUGUAAACAGGCCUGGUUUUGGUUCUGACAUUAAUAAUACAUUCAACUAAUGAGAAAGGUGAAUUAAAAUGCUCCAGAAAAAAUUGCAAGUUCAUACCACUGCCUAUAAGCAGCUUAAAGUUUCAAUAUAGAUACUCCAUGAGUACUGGUUUUUGUUGAGCAUUAUCACUAAAUAAGACCCAGAUGAAACUCUGACCAUGCUGUAAAGUGAAAGCCAUAUUAAAUAAAAAGUCAUAUCAAUAAAUGUGUGUGAAGGUUUGUACUUCUACCUGGGGGAUCUCACGUCUCUGUAAAAGAAACA